CUAUAAUUACCCAUUGAGACAUUUGAUCAAGAACACUCUGAUCACUAGGCAGCCAUCCUCAAAUUAAUGGCAACAACAACAUUGCUAAAUUCACAAUCAACAACCUCAACUUCAUCCUUACAUUUCUCAAUCUUCUCCUCCAUUUCCAUCUUUUCCGCGCUUUCUGCACUGUAUUUCCUUUUCGCUACCACAUUUCACAACACCUAUCUCAUUUCAUACACCUAUGUUAUCUCCGCCGCAUUCAUUGCCAUUCACCUCAUCCUCUUGUUCUUCCACCACAACUUGCGGAAUGUGAAGAUUGCAGAGUGGAUUGAUCAGGCACAUUGCAACACCGGUAGCGUAUUUUGCUGCUUUUGAUCUUCACUUCGUGCCUGAGAAAACGGUCAACGGUCUGUGGCUUGUGAUCUGCCUUUGGAUUGAUGUGCAUGCUCUGAUUCAAAUUACGAGGCCUGUUACUACAGUGAAGCAUUUGCCAAUUUUAUAUUGAUGGCAAUUACAGGUCGAGCUAUGGAUUUGUACGGCUUCACAAGUACAUACUGGAUGAUCAUGUUCUUUUGUUUUAUGCUCAGAUAUCUGAUGGAAAUUUAUGGUAACAAAAUUUCUUCAUCUUCCCGCAGUGUGGCGGUUGAAACGAGGGAGGUCACGGAUUAUUAAAGCAUCACUUGUUAUAUGUUCAAAAAGGCUUAAAGUAAUGAACUUGUGCACAUCGAUCA
rnacentral:lncRNA from 1 species